rnacentral:rRNA from 1 species
UACGUAUGUCGCAAGCGUUAUCCGGAAUUAUUGGGCAUAAAGGGCAUCUAGGCGGCCCUGUAAGUCUAGGGUGAAAACCUGCGGCUCAACCGCAGGCCUGCCCCGGAAACUACAGGACUAGAGUAUCGGAGAGGUGGACGGAACUGCACGAGUAGAGGUGAAAUUCGUAGAUAUGUGCAGGAAUGCCGAUGAUGAAGAUAGUUCACUGGACGGUAACUGACGCUGAAGUGCGAAAGCUAGGGGAGCAAACAGG